AACGAACGCUGGCGGCAGGCUUAACACAUGCAAGUCGAGCGCCCCGCAAGGGGAGCGGCAUACGGGUGAGUAACGCGUGGGAAUCUACCCAUCUCUACGGAAUAACGCAUGGAAACGUGUGCUAAUACCGUAUACGUCCUUCGGGAGAAAGAUUUAUCGGAGAUGGAUGAGCCCGCGUUGGAAUAGCUAGUUGGUGGGGUAAAGGCCUACCAAGGCGACGAUCCAUAGCUGGUCUGAGAGGAUGAUCAGCCACACUGGGACUGAGACACGGCCCAGACUCCUACGGGAGGCAGCAGUGGGGAAUAUUGGACAAUGGGCGCAAGCAUGAUCCAGCCAUGCCGCGUGAGUGAUGAAGGCCCUAGGGUUGUAAAGCUCUUUCACCGGUGAAGAUAAUGACGGUAACCGGAGAAGAAGCCCCGGCUAACUUCGUGCCAGCCGCCGCGGUAACAC
rnacentral:rRNA from 1 species